rnacentral:rRNA from 1 species
UUGCUUGCAAACUGGAGAUGGCGACCGGCGCACGGGUGAGUAACACGUAUCCAACCUGCCGAUAACUCGGGGAUAGCCUUUCGAAAGAAAGAUUAAUACCCGAUGGCAUAAUAGAACCGCAUGGUUUUUUUAUUAAAGAAUUUCGGUUAUCGAUGGGGAUGCGUUCCAUUAGGCAGUUGGUGAGGUAACGGCUCACCAAACCUUCGAUGGAUAGGGGUUCUGAGAGGAAGGUCCCCCACAUUGGAACUGAGACACGGUCCAAACUCCUACGGGAGGCAGCAGUGAGGAAUAUUGGUCAAUGGGCGCAGGCCUGAACCAGCCAAGUAGCGUGAAGGAUGACUGCCCUAUGGGUUGUAAACUUCUUUUAUAUGGGAAUAAAGUUUUCCACGUGUGGAAUUUUGUAUGUACCAUAUGAAUAAGGAUCGGCUAACUCCGUGCCAGCAGCCGCGGUAAUACGGAGGAUCCGAGCGUUAUCCGGAUUUAUUGGGUUUAAAGGGAGCGUAGGUGGACAGUUAAGUCAGUUGUGAAAGUUUGCGGCUCAACCGUAAAAUUGCAGUUGAUACUGGCUGUCUUGAGUACAGUAGAGGUGGGCGGAAUUCGUGGUGUAGCGGUGAAAUGCUUAGAUAUCACGAAGAACUCCGAUUGCGAAGGC